rnacentral:rRNA from 1 species
CCAGACUCCUACGGGAGGCAGCAGUGGGGAAUAUUGCACAAUGGGGGAAACCCUGAUGCAGCGACGCCGCGUGAGUGAAGAAGUAAUUCGUUAUGUAAAGCUCUAUCAGCAGGGAAGAAAAUGACGGUACCUGAGUAAGAAGCCCCGGCUAAAUACGUGCCAGCAGCCGCGGUAAUACGUAUGGUGCAAGCGUUAUCCGGAAUGACUGGGUGUAAAGGGAGCGUAGACGGUUGUACAAGUCUGAUGUGAAAGCCCGCGGCUCAACUGUGGGAGUGCAUUGGAAACUGUAGAACUAGAGUAUCGGAGAGGCAAGUGGAAUUCCUAGUGUAGCGGUGAAAUGCGUAGAUAUUAGGAGGAACACCAGUGGCGAAGGCGGCUUGCUGGACGAAAACUGACGUUGAGGCUCGAAAGCGUGGGGAGCAAACAGGAUUAGAUACCCUAGUA